AUUGAACGCUGGCGGCAGGCUUAACACAUGCAAGUCGAGCGAGCGGCGGACGGGUGAGUAAUGUCUGGGAAACUGCCUGAUGGAGGGGGAUAACUACUGGAAACGGUAGCUAAUACCGCAUACCAUCAGAUGUGCCCAGGUGGGAUUAGCUAGUCGGUGGGGUAAUGGCUCACCAAGGCGACAAUCCCUACCUGGUCUGAGAGGGUGACCAGCCACACUGGAACUGAGACACGGUCCAGACUCCUACGGGAGGCAGCAGUGGGGAAUAUUGGGCAAUGGGCGAAAGCCUGAUGCAGCCAUGCCGCGUGUGUGAAGAAGGUCUUCGGGUUGUAAAGCACUUUCAGCGGGGAAGCGUUACUCACAGAGGAAGCACCGGCUAACUCCGUGCCAGCAGCCGCGGUAAUAC
rnacentral:rRNA from 1 species